rnacentral:pre_miRNA from 1 species
UUAACUCAAAUUUGUAUGGAGUUGGAACGUUUGCCUACGUUUACCGCUGUUCCAGCUGCAUACAAAUUUGAGUUA